rnacentral:lncRNA from 1 species
AGCAUGCUGCCCUCCUUCUCAGGAAGAGAUGGCUGAUGGCAUGUUGCAGGUAUGAAAUGACUUUGGUUUAAUGGUGGGCUAUGGGGUAUUGGGAUUUCUUUCUUUCUUUCUAUUAAAGAAAGCAGCACUUUAAAGUUACAAGAAGCUCUAGGAUUCAAGAUUACUAUUAUUAAUGAUAAAUGUCUAAAUACUGUAGUAAUAGAGGUUUUGAAUUUGUAAUACAUUUGGGAAAGAUUUCUACUUCUCUUUCCUUUAAAGAAGUUUUUGAGAAAGAAUAAUUAAAGUUUAUAAUCUACUAUUGUGGAACUAUUUAGAAGCCUUUUAUUCUGCUUUUACAAAUUCUUUUGUGUGAGAAAGAGAGAGGGAGGGAGAGAGAGAGAGAGAGAUGAUUUGAAUUGUAAUUGAUCAAUUUAAUUGUCUCAUGAUUUAACACUCAGUCUUCUCCCCACCCGGCUUACAAUCUGUAAAGUUUUUGCCAAGAGUUUAGUUCAAGGGCAUAUGGAAUAAAUAAAAAGUGGACUAGGAUUCAAAAAAAAAAACUCUUAUCAAAAUAAGAAUUUUUACCUAUAGAAUGAACUAUUGACAAAUAUUUGAAAUAAGUGGUUACUCUGCAAAUGUUUAUUUUUGUUGUUGUUGUUUGUUUGUUUUAACCUCGAUUUGUAAAUGAUUUUUAGUCCUGAAAACUCCCAAUUGACUCCAACUGUAAUGUCCUGGGGGAUCAAUAUGUGUGUAGUUAAUUGUACACUGGGAUUUUUGCCGAGAUUAGCAACAGAGAGGGAAGGCCAGAGAUCUAAUUGGUUCUGGAUCUAAAAGCUUCUAUUUUACUCUUGAAGAACUAAGAGAAGAACUUUUCAUUUUCUUUCAAAGGUUGCAGUGUCUCUCCCUAGUGAAUAGAUUUCAGAUUUCAGAGAGAAAUUUAAGAUUAUUUUUAAUUUGUUAAAAUCGCAGACAGAAUGCAAGUCACUGAUGACAAGUCACAAAGAGCAAAUGUGAGGACAUAUGACAUUUAAACUUUAAAACAGGAGCAACAGAAAGAGUUGGAAGGGAAUAAAGAAGCCAAUUCUCUUGAAGAUUAACUCAUGACCUCAGGCUUAGGUCUGGAUGAAAACUGGAAUAGAAGCAGUAUAUGCAGAUGAUGCGGACAGAGCUAUGUAAUAGCCAUCUAUAUCAAAUUUUAAAAUAAAAACAUAAUUUUCAGGCAAAAAAAAAUUAUGCAUUGGAAUAGAUAAGAAAACCAUGAAGCAAAUUUCUUUUCAACAAAGGUAUAUAGCAAGAGAAAUAGAUGGGAACUAAUUAUAUAGGAAGAUAUCUAAGAAACAAAUUUUUUAGGAUAAUUAGGAUGAGUCUUUCUUUUCUUUCUUUUUUCUGUUUCCUUCUGGACUAAAUGAAGAAAAGCAAGGGAGUCUUUUGUGAAAAAUAUUCAGGAAAAAGAAGAAAGAUGGAAACUCACUUAUGAACAUCUGUUCUGCAAAGCCACCUGAAAAAUAACUGGGUACUAACGUGGAAUAAAAUGUGCUCAGCGUGAAACUAACCAUAAGUAAUGUAGUAGCAGGGAGGCAGGAAGAGUGACAUAAGGAACUGGCGCCCUAUGGAGCAUAACUUCUGACUGUCCGAAUCCAAGUCACCCCCUCAGCUAAUGGGAGGGGAAGUGGGGGCAGGCAUUAUCCAGGCAAAUUGCCCGUGAAGUGGCACAAGUUGCAAU